AUCUAUGGCAAUAUCAGUCUGAAAGUGCCUGAUCUUUUCAGAUCUUAGAAGCCAUCCAGACUCGGGCCUGGUUAGCACUUGUAUGGGAGACCUACUAGGAACCUCAGGUGCUGUAACGG
rnacentral:rRNA from 1 species